rnacentral:rRNA from 1 species
UACAGAGGUCUCAAGCGUUGUUCGGAUUCAUUGGGCGUAAAGGGUGCGUAGGUGGCGCUGUAAGUCGGGUGUGAAAUUUCGGAGCUUAACUCCGAAACUGCAUUCGAUACUGCGGUGCUUGAGGACUGGAGAGGAGACUGGAAUUCAUGGUGUAGCAGUGAAAUGCGUGGAGAUCAUGAGGAAGACCAGUGGCGAAGGCGGGUCUCUGGACAGUUCCUGACACUGAGGCACGAAGGCCAGGGGAGCAAACGGG